rnacentral:rRNA from 1 species
AAACUAGGAUUAGAUACCCUAUUAUUUAUGAAGCUAAACAUUGUAAGUAAAUGUUAAUUAUGAAAGCAAAAAAUUAUGGCGGUAUCUUAAGCUUUUCAGAGGAAUUUGCUCUAUAAUGGAUAAAACGCCUAAACCUUACUUUGACUAGUAAAAUCAAUUUGUAUACCACUAUUAAAAUAAUAACAUACAACUAUUAUUUCAAUAUAAUUUAUAUAAAAAAUUAAGUCAAGGUGCAGUAAAAGUCAAUGAAUGAAGUGAAUUACAUUUCUUUUUAGAAAAGAAAAAUGAAAAGUAAAUUAGGAUUUGAAAGUAAAAUUAAAAUAAAAUGUUAAUUUGAAUUAAGCUCUAAGAUAUGUACAUAUCGCCCGUCACUCUUUUUAAGAUAAGUCGUAACAAAGUUAAAAUACUGGAAAGUGUUUUAAAAAAAAAAAAAUGAAAUCAUUAGAUGUYUCACUUACAAUGAAAAUUUGUAUUAAUAUACCAUUUUUUUUUUUAAAUUAUAACAAAAUUAUAACAUAGAAAGUAAUUUUAUUAAAAUUUAUUAAUUAAUUAAUUAUAAUAAAACUGUAAAGGAAUUUUUUUUUUAAAAAUUUAAAAGUAAAUUCAAUGUACCUUUUGCAUAAGGGAUUUUUAAAAAAAAUUAAAAUUUUAAUUUUCUCGAAAUAAAUUGAUCUAAAAUAAAAUAUGUAAUUUAUGUUUCAUUAUAAAUUUUAAUUUUAUUUUAGUUGUGAAAUGCUUGUCAAAAUUUAAGAUAACUAGUUUAAAAAAAAAAUUUAAUAUUAACCUAUAAAUAAAUUUUUUAUUAUUAAUUUUAUAGGUAAAAAUCUUAGGGAUAAGCUGAAGAUUAAAUUUUUAAUAAUUAAAGUAAGUUUUAAUAUAAGAAAUAUAAUUGUUCUUUAUAUUGUUAUAAGUAAAUUAAAAUAAUAGUUUAUAAUUAAUUUAUUUUUAAAUAUAAAAUAAAGAAUUUUUUUUUUAUUUUAGAAUAUGAAAAUAUUAGUAAAAUUAUUUAAAAUUAAAAAUAAAAAAAAAAGUUAAAAGUUAUAAAUUUAUAAAAUAAAAUAAGUUUAAAUAAUUCGGCAAAAUUUUUCUUUGACUGUUUAAUAAAAACAACUUAUUCAGAUUUUAAUUUUAUUGAAUAUAAAUCCUGCUCAAUGAUUUUUUUUUUAAAUUGCUGUAGUAUUUUGACUAUACAAAGGUAUUGUAAUAAGAUUUUAAUUGAAUGCUAAGAGAAUGGAAUUUCAGGGAAAAACUGUUUUAAACUUAAAAAUUAAAUUUAUUUUAAUUUGUGAAGAAACAAUUAUUUAAAUUAAGGACAAGAAGACCCUAAGAAUUUUAAAGAUAAUAAUUUUAAUAUUAAAAUUAUUAUCUUUUGGUUGGGGCAACUAAAAAAGAUUAUAAACUUUUUAUUUAAUAAAAUGAUCCAUUAUUAAUGAUAAUUUGAUAAAAAUACUCUAGGGAUAACAGCGUAAUAAUUUUUGAUAGAACAUAUAGACAAAAUAGUUUGCGACCUCGAUGUUGGAUUAGGAUACUUUUUUAAUGAAGAUGUUAAAAAAAGAAGUUUGUUCAACUUUUAAAGUCCUACUUGAUCUGAGUUCAGACCGG